CCCCGAUGAUACGAAACAACACAGUAGAAUUAUUCUGGUCUCAGUUGCCGAUAUCAGUUCACAGGCGGUCUUUUCGUAAAAGAAAAGAAAAUAUACUACAGUAAUAUUUGUUUGUUUUAUGUGCUGAAAGUAGUUCUCUGUGAUUUUCGUUCGCCGCACGAGCAGCUAGGAUUACCUGGAGGAAUGUGGAUGAAACGUUUGCUGGUUUCGGUUUUCCUGCUCAUACCACUAAUCGUUCCCCAGAUAGACGCGGACGUUCCUCAUCUCCCCAGUGCACCAGCUUCCAAAAAAGAACGGCUGAAAUCGGAAAAACUCCCUGCUUGUAAAGCAUGUACGGUCCUGGUGAAUUCGUUCAACGAGGGAUUGAAACGAACCGAACGGUCGAAGCACGAGGGCGGUGACGCUGCCUGGGAAGAGGAACGUCUUGGAAGUUAUAAGACGAGCGAGCUUCGUUUGGUGGAAAUCCAAGAACGCCUCUGUCAAGAUGUUGGUCGCGGCGAAGACCAAUGCCACCAACAGGCUGAAGAGCUUGAAUCGCUAAUCGAAGAAUGGUGGAAAGAGGGGCAAAACACACAUCCAGACCUACACCAGUGGCUGUGUGUGGAGCAAGUGAAGGUUUGCUGUCCGGACGGCCACUAUGGGCAGAACUGUGAUCCAUGCCCGAGCUGUUUCGGGAACGGGAAAUGUAAGGGCAAUGGGACGCGCAAAGGUAACGGACAGUGCGUUUGCGAUGAGGGAUACAGCGGGUCGAACUGCGAUAGCUGCGGGUCCGAGCACUACGAGUCGUUUCGUGACGCUGAGAAGUUGCUCUGCUCAAAGUGUCAUAAAGCUUGCGCCGCCGGAGGUUGCACCGGAGCGGGACCGAAUGCUUGUCGUGUAUGCCGGAGUGGCUGGGUCAUGGACAAUCAGCGAGGUGGAUGCACGGAUAUUGAUGAGUGCACCACGGCCAACACCUGUUCUAAGCAGCAGUUUUGCGUGAACAACGAAGGAUCUUUUAGUUGUUUGGAAUGUGACAAAUCUUGCGAUGGAUGCGAUGGUGACGGACCCGAUAUGUGCAGAAAGUGCGCAGACGGUUUCGAAUUACGAGAUGGAUUAUGUACAGAUACAUCGAGCGAGAAGCGCAACCAAUACGUUACCUUCACUCGCUAUCUCACCUAUCUUGGCCUCUGCAUAGCCACGUGUAUUGUGCUCCAGAGUUCCACCUGGUUGGCGGCACUCGUGGGGCUGGCCGUUGCCGUUUACAUUUCCGUAUCCGAAUAUUGGCUUAACACCAAUCCGCAACAGAGCGCGACACCGUCGCCAAAAAUUCUCGACGAAAUUCUACAGCAGCAAUAGACUACACUCGAGUGGUUCGUCUUAUCUAAGUCAGGAAUAGAAUUAGUGAAUCAAAACCAAAAUAAAAAUACACAUGAGCAACCGAUUCGUGUUGUGCAUACAGUUUGUUGCUUUUGAGUUUAAGCUUUAGUUUUCCUUAGCGAAGAAUCGAUAAACCCGUUUUAGUUACACUUCAUAAGUGCAACGCGAGUGACUAGAAUAAAUAGUUUUUCAGAUAAAUCCCGGCAUAAUGGGAGACAUGAGUGAGCCGUAAAGUUUCGGCCAUAUUCAGCGACGUCCGUCAAGCAGGCCAGACAGACCCUAUGAUCACGGAGGCGGCUGAUCAUGAGCACAUUAAAGAUGAACUAUGAAAUCGAUGCUGGUAUAGAACAAAAUGAAAUAAAAUAUUAAGCUUGGGUUUGGCAAAAAGUA